GCCGCGGGCGCUUUGAAGUGAGCCGCUGCCGGGCCGCUCCGGCCGCCUGGCCGUCCCUGCCGCCAGGCCGUCGGUCCGGGGCUGGCGGCGGGGCCGGCGGCGCGUGUUUAUCCAGGUACCACCAGGAGCCCUGGCAUCAUCAGAAUCUUAUUAGAAAUGUGGAAUCUCAGGCCCCUCCCCAGACCUGCAGAGUGAAAUCUGUUUUUUAAAAGAUCCCUGGUGAAUUGGACACGCAAUAAAGUUUGAGGACGCUAACAUCUGGUUAAAAGUCUGCUAUUGCCACUGUGUGGGAACCUGUCUUUGGGAAGCUGCACCUCCUUCAUCGGAUUGGCAAGAGAUGAGCCUUCUCCAUCAGACCAGCUAUGCUUCCAGAGCAGAGGCUGUGCUUCUGGGAUCUUCCCGAGGACAGGGAUUGAUCCUCCCCAAUCAAACUGGGAAUCUGGCAGAAGCAGAGGUGGUUCUUGGUCGCAGGCCGGAUGCUCGCCUGAAGCUUGUGGUGCCACCCCCGUCUGACUGGCAGUCCCCAGGAUCCCCUGUGAAACUUGGCUGGCUUUGGGGUUGAGAGCCACCUGCAAGGAGAGGUAUCCGUUCGCGUUUUCCAAGAGGAUGGAGAAGCCAGAGAGGAGAGAUGGGCCUGUGUUGCGAUUCUGGCCAGUGAAGCAUGAGAAAAAAUCAGGGAAGGGGCCCUCCUUGGCUUAAAAUGAGGCUCAAGGUCUCCUAAUGUCUGGCUUAAUAGAAGACAGCUGGGUUCUCAUUUUGGCUUCUGCGUUCAAUUUGUUCCAAUAUCCCAUGUCAUGAAGCCCCUGGAAAACUCCGCUGUGCAAACCCUGGGAGAACGAGAGGGAGAAAAGCACCGGCCAUCGCGGGAUUUGUAUUAGUUUUCUGUGGCUGCUGUAACAAAUGACUGUAACCUUGGUGACUGACAGCAGAAGUGUAUUCUCCCAGUUCUGGAGGCCGCGAGCCUGACGUCCAGGAGUUACCAGAGCUGUGCGGUUCCCAGAGACUCUAGGGGAGAACCUGGCCCUUCCCUCUGCUGGCUUCUGGUGGCUGUCCAUGUCCCUAGGCUUGUGGCUGUGUCACUUCAUUCUCUGCCUCCAUUUUCAUAGCACUGUGUUUAUCUUAUGACAUUUGUCAUUGGAUUCAGGGCCCACUCAGAUCAUCUGGGCUUAUCUCCUCAACUCAAAAUCCUUAAUUGUAUCUGCAAAGACUUUUUUUUUUUUUUUUUUUUUUUUUUUUUUUUUUUGCAGAGAAGUUUCUAUUCAGUUUCUGGGGAUUAGGACAU